rnacentral:lncRNA from 1 species
CUUUUCGAGGUAGGAGUCGACUCCUGUGAGGUAUGGUGCUGGGUGCAGAUGCAGUGUGGCUCUGGAUAGCACCUUAUGGACAGUUGUGUCCCCAAGGAAGGAUGAGAAUAGCUACUGAAGUCCUAAAGAGCAAGCCUAACUCAAGCCAUUGGCACACAGGCAUUAGACAGAAAGCUGGAAGUUGAAAUGGUGGAGUCCAACUUGCCUGGACCAGCUUAAUGGUUCUGCUCCUGGUAACGUUUUUAUCCAUGGAUGACUUGCUUGGGUAUGGAGAGUCGGCUUGACUACACUGUGUGGAGCAAGUUUUAAAGAAGCAAAGGACUCAGAAUUCAUGAUUGAAGAAAUGCAGACCUGUUAUCCUAAACUAGGGUUUUUAAUGACCACAACAAGCAAGCAUGCAGCUUACUGCUUGAAAGACAGGGUCUUGCCUCACCCAAGCUAGAGUGCAGUGGCCUUUGAAGCUUACUACAGCCUCAAACUUCUGGGCUCAAGUGAUCCUCAGCCUCCCAGUGGUCUUUGUAGACUGCCUGAUGGAGUCUCAUGGCACAAGAAGAUUAAAACAGUGUCUCCAAUUUUAAUAAAUUUUUGCAAUCCA